CUACUACAUUUUAGAUGCUUUGAGGUGAUCUAGCAGCACAUCAUGGUUUGUAGAAACAAGGAGAUACAGACCAUUCUGAGCUGCCUCUUGACCUCAGAGAAAAGCCAAAGAACCCUUG
rnacentral:pre_miRNA from 14 species